GAUGAACGCUGGCGGCGUGCCUAAUACAUGCAAGUCGAGCGAACAGACGAGGAGCUUGCUCCUCUGACGUUAGCGGCGGACGGGUGAGUAACACGUGGAUAACCUACCUAUAAGACUGGGAUAACUUCGGGAAACCGGAGCUAAUACCGGAUAAUAUAUUGAACCGCAUGGUUCAAUAGUGAAAGACGGUUUUGCUGGCACUUAUCGAUGGAUCCGCGCCGCAUUAGCUAGUUGGUAAGGUAACGGCUUACCAAGGCAACGAUGCGUAGCCGACCUGAGAGGGUGAUCGGCCACACUGGAACUGAGACACGGUCCAGACUCCUACGGGAGGCAGCAGUAGGGAAUCUUCCGCAAUGGGCGAAAGCCUGACGGAGCAACGCCGCGUGAGUGAUGAAGGUCUUCGGAUCGUAAAACUCUGUUAUUAGGGAAGAACAGAUGUGUAAGUAACUAUGCACGUCUUGACGGUACCUAAUCAGAAAGCCACGGCUAACUACGUG
rnacentral:rRNA from 1 species